rnacentral:lncRNA from 1 species
AAGAGACAGCGCCGCCGGCCGUGGGGAGCGGACGCAGUGAUUUGCUCCCCCUCGUGCAGCAACCCCCACACCCAGCACCAGGCCCCCAGAACUCUCCUUCCAGCUGAACUCCCUGGGAACAAGUCAGUUGGGCUGAUCACUGAACUCACAUUUCUGGACCUGAGGAGCCUGUUCCUCUCACGCCCUCACCUGGCUGAGCCGCAGUAGUUCUUCAGUGGCAAGCUUUAUGUCCUGACCCAGCUAAAGCUGCCAGUUGAAGAACUGUUGCCCUCUGCCCCUGGCUUCGAGGAGGAGGAGGAGCUGCUUUCCCCAUCAUCUGGAAGCGGCUACAGGAAGCUGUGUCUGUUCGAUUUGGUGGGAGGAGAUGUGCAGGGAGCUGUAUCUUGUCCUCCGCUUGUGAAAAACUCAAGGAUGUGGAGAAGAGUAGACCGUGGAACCCUGCUCUUCUGCAGCCAAGCUGAGGGGCAGGAUGCGUGUGGGACAGUGGUAGAGAAGCAGGGGAUAGACUCAUAGGCUGCAACAAAGGUCACUCUGUCCCUGGACACUGCCUCCGUACUUUCUCCUUGCUUCACUGGCCACAGCAUCUCCCUCCAGCCCUCGCUAUGUGCCUCUGCCAUCUUCACCCAUCAUGGAGCAGAGGUGAGGAGA